UACGGGGGGGGCAAGCGUUGUUCGGAAUUACUGGGCGUAAAGGGCUCGUAGGUGGCCAACUAAGUCAGACGUGAAAUCCCCAGGCUCAACUUGGGAACUGCGUCUGAUACUGGAUGGCUUGAAUUCGGGAGAGGUGAGUGGAACUGCGAGUGUAGAGGUGAAAUUCGUAGAUAUUCGCAAGAACACCAGUGGCGAAGGCGGCUCACUGGCCCGAUACUGACGCUGAGGCACGAAAGCGUGGGGAGCAAACAGG
rnacentral:rRNA from 1 species